AAGCAAGCCUGGGCAAUGGCGGGUGCCCCUACCCCAGCCUCGCUGCCGCCUUGCAGGUUGAUCUCAGACUGCUGUGCUAGCAAUCAGCGGGACUCCGUGGGCGUAGGACCCUCCGAGCCAGGUGAUACGAAGCCUUCUGAAGAUUUGAAUCAAGGAAAUGAGGAGCCAUUGAAGAAUACUGUUGUCCUAUCCCAGAAGGAGCAAGCGGACAACACUGAUAUCCUGACCACUAACCAUCCAGCACCACUUAAAGUUUUAAAAAGAAUAACAGAAAGAAAGAAGUGGCUGAAACCUAAAUGCCAUAUGGAGAAGACAGCUAAUUGCCACACUCUCCUCUUUGGUCUUUCCUGGUACGCAGCAUACAAGCCCACAGAUUGAGGACUCUGCACUUGCUGUUCUCUCUGCCUGGAGCUCUAUGGCUCCAGAUAGACUCCUGCCAACUCCUUCGCCUUGUCCAAGUUACCUUCAUUAAAUGUCAGCUUAAAUGUGUGCCUACUUUUUGCCCUACCUAGAAUUGCAAGCACCUCUCACCACUGUGCUCCCAUUCUCCUUAACUUAAGCCACUUUUAUUCUCAUAAUAAAGCCACAUAUUUUUUCUUAUUAUAUCAUAAUCGUACUGUAUAAUUUAUAUUUUAUUACUUUUGUUUGUAUACUUAUUGUAUGUUUCUGUUCACAAGGAUGUAAACCCCAUGAACACAGAGAUCUUUGAUUGUUUUAUUCACUGAUUUAUGCCAAAUGUUUGGAACAAUGCCUGGCACAUAGUAGAUGUUUGAUAAUUUUUUUUUUUUCUGAAUGAAUAAAUACAUUUUAGCCAAA
rnacentral:lncRNA from 1 species